rnacentral:rRNA from 1 species
AGAGUUUGAUCAUGGCUCAGGAUGAACGCUAGCGGCAGGCUUAACACAUGCAAGUCGAGGGGUAGAGGAAGCUUGCUUCCUGAGACCGGCGCACGGGUGCGUAACGCGUAUGCAAUCUACCUUAUACAGGGGGAUAGCCCAGAGAAAUUUGGAUUAAUACCCCAUAGUAUAAUUGAAUGGCAUCAUUUAAUUAUUAAAGUCCAACGGUAUAAGAUGAGCAUGCGUCCCAUUAGCUAGUUGGUGUGGUAACGGCACACCAAGGCGACGAUGGGUAGGGGUCCUGAGAGGGAGAUCCCCCACACUGGUACUGAGACACGGACCAGACUCCUACGGGAGGCAGCAGUGAGGAAUAUUGGUCAAUGGGCGCAAGCCUGAACCAGCCAUGCCGCGUGCAGGAUGACGGUCCUAUGGAUUGUAAACUGCUUUUGUACAGGAAGAAACACUCCCUCGUGAGGGAGCUUGACGGUACUGUAAGAAUAAGGAUCGGCUAACUCCGUG